CCUACGGGUGGCAGCAGUGAGGAAUAUUGGUCAAUGGCCGAGAGGCUGAACCAGCCAAGUCGCGUGAGGGAAGACGGCCCUACGGGUUGUAAACCUCUUUUGUCGGGGAGCAAAGCGAACCACGUGUGGGUCAUUGAGAGUACCCGAAGAAAAAGCAUCGGCUAACUCCGUGCCAGCAGCCGCGGUAAUACGGAGGAUGCGAGCGUUAUCCGGAUUUAUUGGGUUCAAAGGGUGCGCAGGCGGAGGUGCAAGUCAGCGGUCAAAUUGCGGGGCUCAACCCCGUACUGCCGUUGAAACUGAAUCCCUUGCGUGCGCGAUAUGUCUGCGUAAUGCGUGGUGUAGCGGU
rnacentral:rRNA from 1 species